ACCAGCAAGCUCAAGCUCUCUCGGCCCGAGAGAGAAACCCGACGACCCGCAAGGCAGCCCGGCGACAACUCCGGUGUCAGGCCACCGAUCGACGACGCAAGGCCACCAAUUUCUUCCUCUCGUCGUCGCCGUCACGCCUGUGGCCUUUGAUCGCCCAUGCACCGAACGAGGAGGGAGACUCGACGGUGAGAAGCAGCAACUUUCCGGCGACUCCGGCCACCGUCUGGGUUGCCCGAGGUACGAAACGAAAUCUUCUCGACGAUUUAUGCGUCUGUGUAUAAUUAGUUUUAGAUUUUGGCUGGGUUUGAUGGACUAAUGUUUUGGGUGCCUUCGGCCUCGUUGGCGUUGCCGUGUACGGCGGCGAAUUCUGGAACGUCUGGGCUUGUUUUUGAUGAUGGUUCUCGUCCUAGGCCCCUAAUCGGUGCUUGGUCCAGUUAAUCUCACGAUUUGGGCAGUGGAAGAGUAGCCGAGUUUUUGAUUUCUGGUUGGGAUGCUUCUGCUCGGAGUUUGUGUUUGAAAUCGAAGGACUCCAGUUACCCGAAGAACUGAAGGUUCGUGACUCUCGGAGUAUGUGUAGGAAAGCAUCGGAAUCCAGGUAGGGGAUUCAGGACUCUCCUCGGUUAGCGAUUUUCUUAUAUUGUUAUUAAAUGAUGCACGUUAGUUGGUAUGGUUUGGUCAUGUUCAAAUGCAAUGCAUACUAACCAAACCCUGUGAGAAAUGUGAUGGCUUGAGAGCGAAGGGUGGCUCUGACUUCAUUGGGUUCGAUCCCCAAAACCUCCGGAGGGUUAGUUACAUCGGUCGGACGGUGAGCGAUCGCAAUGACGACCCGAUCCGUGUGUGUAUAGCUAGGUAGCGGACGCUCUCGCUACGCUUACCUGGUGAUAAAUUAAAUUGAGGUAAGGUCGUGUAGUGGGUCUAUGGGACCGGCCAUCAGUAUGAAUGCAGGUACUGUGCACUGGUGACGGGACAAUAGCGGAUGGAGCUGGGUGAGCAGAACAAGUUCGGUAAAUUACCGUGUGAACCUUAUUCUAAAUUCUAUUUCUCGAACUUUGUGUUCUGGAACUUGUGGUUAUCUAGUCUCGUGUCAUCUUUUAGUUGAA